UACGUAGGCAGCGAGCGUUGUUCGGAGUUACUGGGCGUAAAGAGUGCGUAGGCGGUUUUCUAAGUUUGGUGUGAAAUCUCCCGGCUUAACUGGGAGGGUGCGCCGAAAACUGGAAGGCUUGAGUAUGGGAGAGGUAAGCGGAAUUCCUGGUGUAGCGGUGAAAUGCGCAGAUAUCAGGAGGAACACCGGUGGCGAAGGCGGGUCUCUGGGCCGAUACUGACGCUGAGGAGCGAAAGCGUGGGGAGCGAACAGG
rnacentral:rRNA from 1 species